rnacentral:rRNA from 1 species
AUACGGAGGAUCCGAGCGUUAUCCGGAUUUAUUGGGUUUAAAGGGUGCGCAGGCGGCCAUUUAAGUCAGCGGUUAAAUCGUGGGGCUCAACCCCAUUCUGCCGUUGAUACUGGGUGGCUUGAUUGCGGUCGAGGUUGGCGGAAUUCGUUGUGUAGCGGUGAAAUGCAUAGAUAUGACGAAGAACACCGAUUGCGUAGGCAGCUGACCAGAACGCAAAUGACGCUCAUGCACGAAAGUGCGGGGAUCGAGCAGGAUUAGAUACCCUGGUAGUCCGCACAGUAAACGAUGAAUACUUGUUUUCGGCGAUAUAAUGUCGGAGGCAAAGCGAAAGCGAUAAGUAUUCCACCUGGGGAGUACGCCGGCAACGGUGAAACUCAAAGGAAUUGACGGGG